rnacentral:lncRNA from 1 species
UAUGGAUUUAAAAGAGUCACAUAGGUAUGUUUACAACACAGCGACUGCUGCUACUGCUAUUCCACCCCAUGCAUAGACAAAGAAGGCCUCGUCUCCGAUAUGUUUCCAUCAAUCACAAAAACCACACACUCAGACGGGGUACAAGCAGCUCCCAUCGUCGCUCCUGGCCGUCGGAUCAAAGUUUGUGGCAAUCGGAUCAGUGCACCCUUCUGGAACUGGGACGCCCACCUGUUGAGCUGCUUUCCCUGCAUACGGGUAGUAAGCUUAACGCAUCAGCUAUGGCCGCAAAGCACCAUAUCUUUUGUACGUAAGAGACAGGAUGACAUAGAGAGUGCGAACCGUAGAACUGUCCCGUGUUAAUGGCGUCCUCAUUGGCGUCUCCCAGCGCGGCCUCGCUCAGGUACUUGUCGGCCAGCUGCACCCUCUUCACGUUCUCUUGCUCCUUCACCAGCAUGUUACCGUACUCCAUUAGCUUGGCGAGGCUCAUCUUGGGCUGGUCGAACGUCGGCGGUCCUUCCAGUGAGUUGACUAACUUCUUGUUCACGCUUUCAACCCCGAUCUCUGCAACCCAUUUCCUCACCUCAUCAUCAUACACCCUGGCUCGGACGGCGCCAAAGAAGUCUGCAUUACAUAAGCAAC